UACGAAGGGGGCUAGCGUUGCUCGGAAUCACUGGGCGUAAAGCGCACGUAGGCGGAUCGUUAAGUCAGGGGUGAAAUCCUGGAGCUCAACUCCAGAACUGCCUUUGAUACUGGCGAUCUCGAGUCCGGGAGAGGUGAGUGGAACUGCGAGUGUAGAGGUGAAAUUCGUAGAUAUUCGCAAGAACACCAGUGGCGAAGGCGGCUCACUGGCCCGGUACUGACGCUGAGGUGCGAAAGCGUGGGGAGCAAACAGG
rnacentral:rRNA from 1 species